UACGUAGGGGGCAAGCGUUAUCCGGAUUUACUGGGUGUAAAGGGAGCGUAGACGGCCAGACAAGUCUGAAGUGAAAAUCCAGCGCUUAACGCUGGAAGUGCUUUGGAAACUGCCGGGCUGGAGUGCAGGAGGGGCAGGCGGAAUUCCUAGUGUAGCGGUGAAAUGCGUAGAUAUUAGGAGGAACACCAGUGGCGAAGGCGGCCUGCUGGACAGCGACUGACGUUGAGGCCCGAAAGCGUGGGGAGCAAACAGG
rnacentral:rRNA from 1 species